GGAGAAGUCAGCUUUCAUAUCACAAAGACACUCAAGCAGCACUGUGAAGAGGCACAGGUGGUAAAACUGAAGACCUUCACAAACAGCCAGCACUAAUUUGCCAACCAAAUGACGGUCUUUGGAAAACAGAUCCUCUGGCCUCAGGUGAAAAAUGAGAAGAUUAAAUAAGCCAUGGGAAGAUUUUUUAAAAUGACAUGAAACUCCAAGGGUAAAAAGUAGGCAUUUCCACCUUUCCCUGCUUCAUCCAUACCUCCAAAAACAGAACCCUUCAAAGAACGUCCUGAGAAGAACAACUGGCCACUGAUUUUGAGUUGAACACUGGCAGGCAACACCCCAACAACCACACAGACCCCAUAGCUCUCAUUGCAGGAGGCGAGGGCAGCUGCCUGUUAGAAAGUGAUGCAAUACAGUAUAGGGGUUAAAAGAUGUAUGUGAGGAUUGAGCCUACAUCUUAAUUUCAGCUUAACUCCUAAAU
rnacentral:lncRNA from 1 species